AGCAGACAAAAUGACAAAAUUGGAAUUGUUGAAUAUAUUUCUUACGAAGAGAUUAACCGCGGCUGCCGAGGAGAUAUUUGGGGCUGUGAAGGGUACUAUAGUUGAGUACCAGACAGAAAUCGUUCGCUCCAAGGAGGAGAACAAUCGUCUCCGAAAGCUGCUGGAUAUCGCUGUUCAGCGCGUUCUACUUCAAACAGGCCUAUGACCAGGGUAAAAAAACAACAACAGGUGGUUUGACACUUAAAAAAAAAAAAAAUUCAGUAAUGAAAUUAGAUGAGGAAACAGUGGGAAGGUCAGUGAGAAUGCUCUGCACAGGAAAUACUAAUAUUAAUGGUUGAUGGCAGUGGGUAACCAAAUCAUAGAUUGCAGUUUUGUCGUAGACUGCUUUCAAGGUAAGGACACACACAUUUAGUAUUUUGGUGAACUCUUUAAAAUAGUGCUGGAUGAAAAUCCUGCUUGCUCUCCUUGAUCUAUGUUUCCCAAAUG
rnacentral:lncRNA from 1 species